rnacentral:rRNA from 1 species
UACAGAGGGUGCGAGCGUUGUCCGGAAUCACUGGGCGUAAAGGGCGCGUAGGUGGCGACCCAAGUCGAUGGUGAAAGCUCGCCGCUCAACGGCGAGUCGGCCACCGAUACUGGGUUGCUUGAGCACUGUAGAGGCUAAUGGAAUUCCGGGUGUAGCGGUGGAAUGCGUAGAUAUCGGGAGGAACACCAGUGGCGAAGGCGACUUCCUGGCCUGUUCUUGACGCUGAGGCGCGAAAGCUAGGGGAGCAAACGGG